UUCCAAUGAGGAUAACCUUGUCCAGUUCUGCUGCUGAUGUAUCAGAGAUGACAACUUUGUGCCCUGAGGAA